rnacentral:rRNA from 1 species
UACAGAGGUCCCAAGCGUUUGUUCGGAUUCACUGGGCGUAAAGGGUGCGUAGGUGGUGGGGUAAGUCGGAUGUGAAAUCUCCAAGCUCAACUUGGAAACUGCAUUGGAAACUACCUUGCUAGAGGAUUUGAGGGGGGAUUGGAAUACUUGGUGUAGCAGUGAAAUGCGUAGAUAUCAAGUGGAACACCAGUGGCGAAGGCGAAUCCCUGGAAAAUACCUGACACUGAGGCACGAAAGCUAGGGGAGCAAACAGG